rnacentral:rRNA from 1 species
GAUUUCUGAUUGACCACCCUGGCCCGUGGCUAUCUGGUCAUGAGUGCUGGUGUGAGUCUGUCAUCCUUCUAGAGAGCCAUGCCUGCUGUUCACUCAGCUGGGCGUGUGCGAUCUAGAUCAUUUACUUUGAAAAAAUUAGAGUGUUUAAAGCAGGCUUAUGCUGUGAAUACAUUAGCAUGGAAUAAUAAUAUAGGACUUCGGUUCUAUUUUGUUGGUUCAUAGAAUUGAAGUAAUGAUUGAUAGGGAUAGUUGGGGGUGCUAGUAUUCAGCGGCCAGAGGUGAAAUUCUUGGAUUCGCUGAAGACUAACUACUGCGAAAGCAUU